rnacentral:rRNA from 1 species
GGUUAAGCGACUAAGCGUACACGGUGGAUGCCCUGGCAGUCAGAGGCGAUGAAGGACGUGCUAAUCUGCGAUAAGCGUCGGUAAGGUGAUAUGAACCGUUAUAACCGGCGAUUUCCGAAUGGGGAAACCCAGUGUGAUUCGUCACACUAUCAUUAACUGAAUCCAUAGGUUAAUGAGGCGAACCGGGGGAACUGAAACAUCUAAGUACCCCGAGGAAAAGAAAUCAACCGAGAUUCCCCCAGUAGCGGCGAGCGAACGGGGAGGAGCCCAGAGCCUGAAUCAGUGUGUGUGUUAGUGGAAGCGUCUGGAAAGGCGCGCGAUACAGGGUGACAGCCCCGUACACAAAAAUGCACAUACUGUGAGCUCGAUGAGUAGGGCGGGACACGUGGUAUCCUGUCUGAAUAUGGGGGGACCAUCCUCCAAGGCUAAAUACUCCUGACUGACCGAUAGUGAACCAGUACCGUGAGGGAAAGGCGAAAAGAACCCCGGCGAGGGGAGUGAAAAAGAACCUGAAACCGUGUACGUACAAGCAGUGGGAGCACAGAGCAAUCUGUGUGACUGCGUACCUUUUGUAUAAUGGGUCAGCGACUUAUAUUCUGUAGCAAGGUUAACCGAAUAGGGGAGCCGAAGGGAAACCGAGUCUUAACCGGGCGUUAAGUUGCAGGGUAUAGACCCGAAACCCGGUGAUCUAGCCAUGGGCAGGUUGAAGGUUGGGUAACACUAACUGGAGGACCGAACCGACUAAUGUUGAAAAAUUAGCGGAUGACUUGUGGCUGGGGGUGAAAGGCCAAUCAAACCGGGAGAUAGCUGGUUCUCCCCGAAAGCUAUUUAGGUAGCGCCUCGUGAAUUCAUCUCCGGGGGUAGAGCACUGUUUCGGCAAGGGGGUCAUCCCGACUUACCAACCCGAUGCAAACUGCGAAUACCGGAGAAUGUUAUCACGGGAGACACACGGCGGGUGCUAACGUCCGUCGUGAAGAGGGAAACAACCCAGACCGCCAGCUAAGGUCCCAAAGUCAUGGUUAAGUGGGAAACGAUGUGGGAAGGCCCAGACAGCCAGGAUGUUGGCUUAGAAGCAGCCAUCAUUUAAAGAAAGCGUAAUAGCUCACUGGUCGAGUCGGCCUGCGCGGAAGAUGUAACGGGGCUAAACCAUGCACCGAAGCUGCGGCAGCGACACUGUGUGUUGUUGGGUAGGGGAGCGUUCUGUAAGCCUGUGAAGGUGUGCUGUGAGGCAUGCUGGAGGUAUCAGAAGUGCGAAUGCUGACAUAAGUAACGAUAAAGCGGGUGAAAAGCCCGCUCGCCGGAAGACCAAGGGUUCCUGUCCAACGUUAAUCGGGGCAGGGUGAGUCGACCCCUAAGGCGAGGCCGAAAGGCGUAGUCGAUGGGAAACAGGUUAAUAUUCCUGUACUUGGUGUUACUGCGAAGGGGGGACGGAGAAGGCUAUGUUGGCCGGGCGACGGUUGUCCCGGUUUAAGCGUGUAGGCUGGUUUUCCAGGCAAAUCCGGAAAAUCAAAGCUGAGGCGUGAUGACGAGGCACUACGGUGCUGAAGCAACAAAUGCCCUGCUUCCAGGAAAAGCCUCUAAGCAUCACGUAACAUCAAAUCGUACCCCAAACCGACACAGGUGGUCAGGUAGAGAAUACCAAGGCGCUUGAGAGAACUCGGGUGAAGGAACUAGGCAAAAUGGUGCCGUAACUUCGGGAGAAGGCACGCUGAUAUGUAGGUGAAGUCCCUCGCGGAUGGAGCUGAAAUCAGUCGAAGAUACCAGCUGGCUGCAACUGUUUAUUAAAAACACAGCACUGUGCAAACACGAAAGUGGACGUAUACGGUGUGACGCCUGCCCGGUGCCGGAAGGUUAAUUGAUGGGGUCAGCGCAAGCGAAGCUCUUGAUCGAAGCCCCGGUAAACGGCGGCCGUAACUAUAACGGUCCUAAGGUAGCGAAAUUCCUUGUCGGGUAAGUUCCGACCUGCACGAAUGGCGUAAUGAUGGCCAGGCUGUCUCCACCCGAGACUCAGUGAAAUUGAACUCGCUGUGAAGAUGCAGUGUACCCGCGGCAAGACGGAAAGACCCCGUGAACCUUUACUAUAGCUUGACACUGAACAUUGAGCCUUGAUGUGUAGGAUAGGUGGGAGGCUUUGAAGUGUGGACGCCAGUCUGCAUGGAGCCGACCUUGAAAUACCACCCUUUAAUGUUUGAUGUUCUAACGUGGACCCGUGAUCCGGGUUGCGGACAGUGUCUGGUGGGUAGUUUGACUGGGGCGGUCUCCUCCUAAAGAGUAACGGAGGAGCACGAAGGUUGGCUAAUCCUGGUCGGACAUCAGGAGGUUAGUGCAAUGGCAUAAGCCAGCUUGACUGCGAGCGUGACGGCGCGAGCAGGUGCGAAAGCAGGUCAUAGUGAUCCGGUGGUUCUGAAUGGAAGGGCCAUCGCUCAACGGAUAAAAGGUACUCCGGGGAUAACAGGCUGAUACCGCCCAAGAGUUCAUAUCGACGGCGGUGUUUGGCACCUCGAUGUCGGCUCAUCACAUCCUGGGGCUGAAGUAGGUCCCAAGGGUAUGGCUGUUCGCCAUUUAAAGUGGUACGCGAGCUGGGUUUAGAACGUCGUGAGACAGUUCGGUCCCUAUCUGCCGUGGGCGCUGGAGAACUGAGGGGGGCUGCUCCUAGUACGAGAGGACCGGAGUGGACGCAUCACUGGUGUUCGGGUUGUCAUGCCAAUGGCACUGCCCGGUAGCUAAAUGCGGAAGAGAUAAGUGCUGAAAGCAUCUAAGCACGAAACUUGCCCCGAGAUGAGUUCUCCCUGACCCUUUAAGGGUCCUGAAGGAACGUUGAAGACGACGACGUUGAUAGGCCGGGUGUGUAAGCGCAGCGAUGCGUUGAGCUAACCGGUACUAAUGAACCGUGAGGCUUAACCUU